UACGUAGGAUGCAAGCGUUGUCCGGAUUUACUGGGCGUAAAGCGCGCGCAGGCGGCCGUACAAGUACCCUCUGAAAUCUCCUUGCUCAACGAGGAGGGUGGAGGGUAGACUGUGCAGCUAGAGGAGGGUAGAGGGGGGUAGAAUUGCUGGUGUAGCGGUGAAAUGCGUAGAGAUCAGCAGGAAUACCGGUGGCGAAGGCGGCCUUCUGGACCAUUUCUGACGCUGAGACGCGAAAGCGUGGGGAGCGAACAGG
rnacentral:rRNA from 1 species